AUGUCUCAGGUUUGUGUGUACUUUAGUGCCCCCAUUGAGGGGCCUGAAAUGUGGAGGGUGUCCUGUCUCGUUCUCUCUUUAGGUUACCUGCUUUUCUCUUUACCCGUUCUGCUCACCCCUGAGAACUCCUACAGAAGCACAGUGUGCUAUAAGGAAGGAAGGAUCCAGGCUGGUGAGGCGGCCCAACAGAAAUUGAAAUGUGAGGGUCUCAGCACCCUCUAUUCCCAAACACCAUCUUCAGAUGGAUCUGUCAAUGGAAAAGAAUGGGCCAGGUGCAGCUGAUCCUUGCUCACAAUGACCACAGAAUAAUGGUGGAAUUAGCCUUUCUGUGCAAUUUGUCAAAGCCUCUGCGGUCCAGUGGACUAUGGGAGGCUGCUUGGCCUCCCUCCCAUGCUCAUUGUGAAUCUGGUUCCUGGAGCUGAGCCACAAUAACUUCUGCCACCUGCCACUUUGCAUUUCCACUACCCCUGGGGACUGUGGGUGCUGCUGCUCUUUCACAGUCUCCUGUGGAAUCUAGCUAAUGAAGUUCUGGAGUGACCUUCCUGGAGCCGCUGGACCUCUCCACAACUGACUGCCCAUCAGAUUCCUUCAGACUCCAGCUGCUGUGGGCUCUGCACUGGGGCCUUUUCACAACCUGCUCACCACCCUGGACCUUUGCACCCAGGAGCACUGGGGAAGCCGGAGACAGUUUGACCUUUGCCACAACCAACUGCCUGAAUUGGGCAGUGGCAGGUUCAGGCCUCUUCUACCCAUACUGAUUCAUGGAACUAAUUGCAGUAGGAACUAUCCUGACCAUCACUUCAGGCCUGAAAGCCCUCUUCUCUGGCUGGCAGCAACAACACACUGGAAGCCAAGGCCUUUGUGGCCUCAUGGCCAAUAGUUUUGUCUCGUGUGGUUAGCUGGUUACACCUUGGAUAUACACGUGUCUUCUACUGGCCAGCUAUUAUCAUCUUCAGUGGGCAUUUGGGAAACAGAGUCACUUGAGGUGGCUGGUCCAGGCAACUUAACAUGCACUGGACCUAGAUGGUUCUUGAGGGCAUGCUGAGCAGUGUGGAGGCAUGGCUCUGCCUGACUAAAACAGCUACUGUGUUGGGCAUCACAGGCACCAUACUGUCCUCUGUGACUAUGGCUGUCAUCACAGAUUCAAGUUUUCUGGGGUACUUAGUGGAACCAGGGAAGAGUUGAGGAGUCCCUGGUGAGUUGAGUGGAGCUGUGGAAGUUCAAGGGAGAGGUGGAAGAGAGAAAAAAAAAAGUUCCUCAGAUGUCUGUGAGGCUCAACUGUCUGUCAGGACAGGGCUAGGAGGAGUGGGCUGAUGCUGAGCUCAUCAUUACACAGGUUGUUCGGUGACCUAGCACUAUGCUAACACCGGCUCCAACCCUAGAGACUAGACGUUAGUCUAUAGAGGAGGAAGGCAGAGUGGAAUGUGUAUUAAAGAAAGCUUCCUGAAUAUCAGGCUUUCCCCUCACACUUGGGGAUAGCCUCGGCUGAAGGGGGAUGUCUUAGUUGUUUUUUUUUUUUUUUUAAGAUUUUUUUAUGUAUUAUGUUUACAACAUUCUGCCUCCAUGUAUGCCUGCAUGACAGAAGAGGGCACAAGAUCUCAGAAAGUUGUGAGCCACCAUG
ensembl:lincRNA